UCAUGCCAUAAUGGCCAUAGCAGAAGUGCUCACGUCACGGCCCUGUCAGAUUUGAACAGAUCUGUAAAUUGUGCU
rnacentral:ribozyme from 1 species